rnacentral:rRNA from 1 species
UACAGAGGUCUCAAGCGUUGUUCGGAUUCAUUGGGCGUAAAGGGUGCGUAGGCGGCGCGGUAAGUCGGGUGUGAAAUCUUGGAGCUUAACUCCGAAACUGCAUUCGAUACUGCCGUGCUUGAGGACUGGGAGAGGAGACUGGAAUUUACGGUGUAGCGGUGAAAUGCGUAGAUAUCGUAAGGAAGACCAGUGGCGAAGGCGGGUCUCUGGACAGUUCCGUGACGCUGAAGCACGAAGGCCAGGGGAGCAAACGGG